GCCUAGCAGAUGUCAGAGUCUUUAACUAAUUGACUCUGGAUUCUGGGUUCCAGGGAAUGAAAGGAACAACUCUGAAUCUUCCCACAUGUUUCUGUUGGAGAGCCCUGACCUAAAUAGAUUCUACAGCUCCUUUCCUCUUUCCUGAUAGAAUCUCAAUUCUCUCAGAAAGUUCUUUUUUAAUCUAAGUCCUGGUGGCUAUAUUCAAAGUUCAUGCCCUCUUAUCCAAGCCUAGCAGAGAUAGAGAUGAACUGUAUCCCACCUUCUUUGUCAUAGCCAUUCAUGCCUUCAGAGAUCUUUCCAUCUUUUCAACAUUCUUUCCUCAAGGCUGAAUAGUGCCAAUUCUUGUCUCUGCUGGUGGGGAUGGAGAGGAGAGCUCCUCUGGCCCAGUGAAAUCACCCAGUCCAGUGCCCUGCCACAUAAGGAAAUUCCCGGAAUAUUCUUUAUAGAAUGGGUUAUUCAGAGCUAGACAAACAGCUCUCUUGAACCCGUGGAGGGUUAAGGGCAGCCAGUUUCUAUUUCCGGCUUUCUCCUCUGGGCCUGUCAGAUCUGCUGAAGACAGGAAUGAAGUUGUUUUCCAGAAUUCUCCUGUC
rnacentral:lncRNA from 1 species